rnacentral:rRNA from 1 species
UACGUAGGCAGCGAGCGUUGUUCGGAAUUACUGGGCGUAAAGAGUGUGUAGGCGGCGCUCUAAGUUCGGUGUGAAAUCUCUCGGCUUAACUGGGAGGGUGCGCCGGAAACUGGAGUGCUCGAACGUGGGAGAGGAAAGCGGAAUUCCUGGUGUAGCGGUGAAAUGCGUAGAUAUCAGGAGGAAUACCGAUGGCGAAGGCAGGUCUCUGGGCUGACACUGACGCUCAUGCACGAAAGCGUGGGGAGCAAACAGG